rnacentral:rRNA from 1 species
UACAGAGGUCCCAAGCGUUUGUUCGGAUUCAUUGGGCGUAAAGGGUGCGUAGGUGGCGCCGUAAGUCGGGUGUGAAAUUUCGGAGCUUAACUCCGAAACUGCAUUCGAUACUGCGGUGCUUGAGGACUGGAGAGGAGACUGGAAUUCAUGGUGUAGCAGUGAAAUGCGUAGAGAUCAUGAGGAAGACCAGUGGCGAAGGCGGGUCUCUGGGCCGAUACUGACGCUGAGGAGCGAAAGCGUGGGGGAGCGAACAGG